AUCAAGGAGUCUGACAUGCGUGCGAGUCAACGGGUUCUGAAACCUGGGAUGCGCAAGGAAGCUGACGAGCGGGAGGCUCUCACGGCCCGCACCACUGGCCGAGCCUGAUCUUCUGUGAAGGGUUCGAGUUGGAGCACGCCUGUCGGGACCCAAAAGAUGGUGAACUAUGCCUGAGCGGGGCGAAGCCAGAGGAAACUUUGGUGGAGGCUCGAAGCGAUACUGACGUGCAAAUCAUUCAUCUGACUUGGGUAUAGGGGAGAAAGACUAAUCGAACCAUCUAGUAGCUGGUUCCCUCCGAAGUUUCCCUCAGGAUAGAUGGAGCCCAUUACGAGUUCUAUCAGGUAAAGCCAAUGAUUAGAGGCAUUGGGGACGCAACGUCCUCGACCUAUUCUCAAACUUUAAAUAGGUAGGAUGGCGCGGCUGCUUUGGUGAGCCGUACCAUGAAAUCGCGUGCUCCAAGUGGGACAUUUUUGGUAAGCAGAACUGGCGAUGCGGGAUGAACCGGAAGCCAGGUUACGAUGCCAAACUGCACGCUAACCUAGAACCCACAAAGGGUGUUGGUCGAUUAAGACAGCAGGACGGUGGUCAUGGAAGUCGAAAUCCGCUAAGGAGUGUGUAACAACUCACCCGCCGAAUCAACUGACCCGAAAAUGGAUGGCACUGAAGCGCACAACCCACACCCGGCCAUCUAGGCGAGCGCCAUGCCUCGAUGACUAGGAGAGCGCGGCGGCCGCUACAAAACCCGGGGCACGAGCCUGGGCGGAGCGGCCGUCGGUGCAGAUCUUGGU
rnacentral:ncRNA from 1 species